rnacentral:rRNA from 1 species
GCCCAGACUCCUACGGGAGGCAGCAGUGAGGAAUAUUGGUCAAUGGGCGGAAGCCUGAACCAGCCAAGUCGCGUGAGGGAAGAAGGCUUUCGGGUUGUAAACUUCUUUUGUCAGGGAAGAGUAGAAGACGGUACCUGACGAAUAAGCCACGGCUAACUACGUGCCAGCAGCCGCGGUAAUACGUAGGUGGCAAGCGUUGUUCGGAUUUACUGGGUGUAAAGGGCGUGUAGCCGGGCUUACAAGUCAGAUGUGAAAUCCGGGGGCUCAACCCCCGAACUGCAUUUGAAACUGUAGGUCUUGAGUAUCGGAGAGGCAGGCGGAAUUCCUAGUGUAGCGGUGAAAUGCGUAGAUAUUAGGAGGAACACCAGUGGCGAAGGCGGCCUGCUGGACGACAACUGACGGUGAGGCGCGAAAGCGUGGGGAGCAAACAGGAUUAGAUACCCUUGUAAU